UCGGGGUAUAGCGCAGUCCGGUAGAGCGCCUGCUUUGGGAGCAGGAUUUCGGGAGUUCGAAUCUCUCUACCACGAA
rnacentral:tRNA from 1 species